rnacentral:lncRNA from 1 species
CUUGUAAGUAGGCAAUCUAGUAUAUUAUUAGUGACACUAAUCUAUAAUUUACCUCACAUUAAAGGGACACUAUAGCUUAAUGAAGUGGUUCUGGUGUCUAUAGCUGGUCCCUGCAGGCUUUUUAAUGUAAACACACUGUGUGCAGCACUGGCGUUAGUUCAUAUGGCAGAUCAUAUGGGUGGGGCAUUGUGAUGUGACAUGUGGGGGCAGCAAAUUUUUAUUUUGUCUAGGGCAGCAAAAAUCCUUGCACCGGCUCUGAUCCUGGGCAGGUGCACCAGUCUACUUGACUGGUUUUGCCCCCCAGGCCUAAGGCUGCCAGCCC